rnacentral:rRNA from 1 species
GAUGAACGCUGGCGGCGUGCCUAAUACAUGCAAGUCGAGCGAACAGACGAGGAGCUUGCUCCUCUGAUGUUAGCGGCGGACGGGUGAGCAACACGUGGAUAACCUACCUAUAAGACUGGGAUAACUUCGGGAAACCGGAGCUAAUACCGGAUAACAUGUUGAACCGCAUGGUUCAACAGUGAAAGACGGUUUUGCUGUCACUUAUAGAUGGAUCCGCGCCGCAUUAGCUAGUUGGUAAGGUAACGGCUUACCAAGGCAACGAUGCGUAGCCGACCUGAGAGGGUGAUCGGCCACACUGGAACUGAGACACGGUCCAGACUCCUACGGGAGGCAGCAGUAGGGAAUCUUCCGCAAUGGGCGAAAGCCUGACGGAGCAACGCCGCGUGAGUGAAGAAGGUCUUCGGAUCGUAAAACUCUGUUAUUAGGGAAGAACAAAUGUGUAAGUAACUAUGCACGUCUUGACGGUACCUAAUCAGAAAGCCACGGCUAACUACGUG